CCUACGGGAGGCAGCAGUAAGGAAUAUUGGACAAUGGAGGCAACUCUGAUCCAGCCAUGCCGCGUGCAGGAAGAAGGCGCUACGCGUUGUAAACUGCUUUUGUACCAGAGAAAAUCAUUGUACGUGUACGAUGUUGAUAGUAUGGUAAGAAUAAGCAUCGGCUAACUUCGUGCCAGCAGCCGCGGUAAUACGAAGGAUGCAAGCGUUAUCCGGAUUUAUUGGGUUUAAAGGGAGCGUAGGCGGUCUUAUAAGUCAGUGGUGAAAUCUCGUUGCUUAACAACGAACGUGCCAUUGAUACUGUAGGACUUGAGUACAGUUGCCGUUGGCGGAAUGUGUCAUGUAGCGGUGAAAUGCAUAGAUAUGACACAGAACACCGAUUGCGAAGGCAGCUGACGAAACUGUAACUGACGCUGAGGCUCGAAAGCGUGGGGAUCAAACAGGAUUAGAUACCCUGGUAGUCCACGCCCUAAACUAUGAUUACUCGCUGUCGGCGAUAUACUGUCGGUAGCUAAGCGAAAGCGUUAAGUAAUCCACCUUGGGGAGUUACGCCGCAAGGUUGAACGUAGANAGAGUUAGCGNGNGAGAGCGACGACGACGACGACGGAGGAGGAG
rnacentral:rRNA from 1 species